AAUAUUAAACAGAUGGUGCAUUAUUCUAGUCAUACCAAAGUUUAUGAGGGUGGGGCUAAAAAUCCACUAAAAGGCACAUCGUUGAAGUUUCUUAGGAUUGCGCGAAAUGCCAGUUUUGUGUGGUCUUAGGGAGUAAAGAGAUUAGGGUAAUAUGUAAUGGCAUACAUGUGACUCCCUAUUUUCGCGGAGACUUAAAUUAAAGUAAUUUUAACUUUUUACAGAAAUUUAAGUGUAACCUAUGUUGAGUGCCAAGACACAAAAUGCAUAGUGUAGCCUGUUUUGAGUGAAUGUAUCGGGAUUAACUUAUAUGAGUAAAAUAUAAUUUGGCCAAUUUGUGUUUUACUUUUGUUAUGAAAUUUCAUUUGCAAAAGAAACUAAUAAACUUUUUAAAGGUAUGUCAAGGAAAACUUCUAGAAUGUUUGCUUAAAAUCUGUAAGCAUAGAAGUCUAGGGAUUAAGGUGCAGAUUUAAGUGGCGAUCUGGUGUCUAUUUUGUAUUAAAUAGAUUUUUCCCUUAAACGGAAACGGUUCUAGCAGUAAUGCUAAGCGGGAAAUAGAGAAAUUCAACCAGACCUAAACUGUAAAAUUUACUUAGACUUUGACCAUCAAAAUUG
rnacentral:sRNA from 1 species